rnacentral:rRNA from 1 species
AAGCCAUCCAACGUGCACCAAGUCCAGACUCUUUGGAAGGGAUGCAUUUUUUAGAUAAAAGGUUGGUGCAAGCUUGCUUGCUUCUCUGGUGAAUCAUGAUAACUUGAUAGAUUGCACAAACCUUGUGCUAGCGAUGCUUCAUUCAAAUUUAUGCCCUAUCAACUUUUGAUUAUAGGAUAGAGGCGUACAAUGGAAGUCACGAGUGAUGGAUAAUUAGGGUUAAUUCUAGAGAGGGAGCCUAAGAAACGACUACCACAUCUAUGGAAGGCAGCAGGCGUGAAAAUUACCCAAUCCUUACAUUGGGAGGUAGUGACAAUAAAUAACAAUACUGGGCUAAUCGAGUAUAGAAAUUGGAAUGAGUACAAUCUAAAUCCCUUAACGAGGAUACAUUGGAGGGAAAUUCUAGUGCCAGAAGCCACAGUAAUUCUAGCUCCAAUAGCAUAUAUUUAAGUUGUUGUAGUUAAAAAACUUGUAGUUGGAUCUUGGGUCAUAAAGGUAGGUCCGCCUACUUGGUGUGCACCUACCCUUCUAUCCCUUUUGUCGGUGUUGUGCUCUUGACCUUAAUAGGCUGGUUUAUGGCUCCGACACUGUUACAUUGAAAAAAUUAGAGUGCUCAAAGAAAUCUUAUGCUAUGAAUACAUUAGCAUGGAAUAACAUAAUAAGAGUAUGAUCCUAUUGUGUUGGCCUUCGGUACCGGAGUAAUGAUUAAUAGGGACUGUCAAGGGCAUUUGUAUUUCAUUAUUAGAGGUGAAAUUCUUCAAUUUAUGAAAGACAAACCACCACAAAAGCAUUUUCCAAGGAUGUUUUCAUUAAUCAAGAAUGGAAUUUGGGGGCUCGAAUAUGAUCAGAUAUUGUCUUAGUCUCAACCAUAAAUGAUGUCGACCAGCGAUCAACAUAUGUUGCUCUAAGGACUCCACCAACACCUUCUAAGAAAUUAGAGUGUUUGGGUUUCAAGGGGAGUAUGGUCGCAAUGCUAAAACUUAAAGGAAUUGAUGUAAGGGCACCACCAAGAAUGGAGCUUGUGGCUUAAUUUUACUCAACACGUGGAAACUUACCAGGUCCAAACAUGCUAAGGAUUGAAAAAUUGAGAGCUCUUUCUUGAUUCUAUGGGUGGUGGUGCAUGGUUGUUCUUAGUUGGUAGAGCGAUUUAUCUGGUUAAUUCUAAUAACGAACGAGACCUUAGCCUACUAAGUAGCUAUGCAGAGGUUCCCCUUUGCUGCCAACUUCUUAGAGGGACUAUGGUCAUUUAAGCCAUGGAAUUUUGAGGCAACAAGAGGUUUGUGAUGCCCUUAGAUGUUUUGGGCCACACGCGCACCACAAUGUUGCAGCCAACAAGUUUUUCUUCCUAGUUUGAGAGUGUUACCAGAAUAGUGUCCACUCGGAGCUGCUAUUCCCACUAAGACUGGUAGCUAUCUUAAAAACAAACAAGCAAAGACUACUUUUGUUUUCCUUUAUGAAAAUAGAUAAGAGUGGAACAAAGGACACCAAACUUAGUCUUGCGCUUGGUUCCUUA